rnacentral:rRNA from 1 species
UACGUAGGAGGCAAGCGUUGUCCGGAGUUACUGGGCGUAAAGCGCGCGCAGGCGGUUGAUCAAGUUUGUGCUGACAGCUCCCGGCUCACCUGGGAGAGGCGUACAAAAACUGGUCAACUUGAGAACCUCAGAGGAAUGUGGAACUCCAGGUGGAGCGGUGAAAUGCGUAGAGAUCUGGAAGAACACCUAAGGCGAAGGCAGCAUUCUGGGAGGUUUCUGACGCUCAGGCGCGAAAGCCAGGGGAGCGAACGGG